UGGGGAAUUUUGGACAAUGGGCGCAAGCCUGAUCCAGCAAUGCCGCGUGCAGGAUGAGGGCCUUCGGGUUGUAAACUGCUUUUGUACGGAACGAAAAGCUUCUGGUUAAUACCUGGGAGUCAUGACGGUACCGUAAGAAUAAGCACCGGCUAACUUCGUGCCAGCAGCCGCGGUAAUACGUAGGGUGCGAGCGUUAAUCGGAAUUACUGGGCGUAAAGCGUGCGCAGGCGGUUAUGUAAGACAGAGGUGAAAUCCCCGGGCUCAACCUGGGAACUGCCUUUGUGACUGCAUGGCUAGAGUGCGGGAGAGGGGGAUGGAAUUCCGCGUGUAGCAGUGAAAUGCGUAGAUAUGCGGAGGAACACCGAUGGCGAAGGCAAUCCCCUGGGCCUGCACUGACGCUCAUGCACGAAAGCGUGGGGAGCAAACA
rnacentral:rRNA from 1 species